rnacentral:rRNA from 1 species
GACAGAGGGUGCAAACGUUGUUCGGAAUUACUGGGCGUAAAGCAUGUGUAGGCGGCUACAUAAGUCGGAUGUGAAAGCCCCGGGCUCAACCCGGGAAGUGCACUCGAUACUGCGUAGCUUGAGUCUCGGAGAGGUUGGUGGAAUUCUCGGUGUAGAGGUGAAAUUCGUAGAUAUCGAGAGGAACACCGGUGGCGAAGGCGGCCAACUGGACGAAGACUGACGCUGAGACACGAAAGCGUGGGGAGCAAACAGG